CCUGUCCGCGCGCCGAACUCUGCCAGCUGACCGGGCCCUUUCAAGUUCACCUGGCAGAGGUGGGGAACCCAAUCAGUGACGGCCACAGGGCCGUCUUGGGGUGAAGCCCCUUGAACACAUCGCCGCCGCCUCCGCGGCGCCAGUGGACAGGGGCCGGGUUAUUGUUCCUGACCCGAAUCCGACAGCUAACCCCGCAGGCGCCGGCAGAAGGACAU
rnacentral:sRNA from 2 species